rnacentral:rRNA from 1 species
UACGUAGGCAGCGAGCGUUGUUCGGAGUUACUGGGCGUAAAGGGUGUGUAGGCGGUUGUUUAAGUUUGGUGUGAAAUCUCCCGGCUCAACUGGGAGGGUGCGCCGAAUACUGAAUGACUUCGAGUGCGGGAGAGGAGAGUGGAAUUCCUGGUGUAGCGGUGAAAUGCGUAGAUAUGUGGAGGAACACCGAUGGCGAAGGCAGCCUUCUGGGCCAACACUGACGCUCAUGCACGAAAGCGUGGGGAGCAAACAGG